GGUCACCUUGAGCCGGCAGUCGUGUUCGAAUCGUUUUAGAUGAGAGUCACGGCAUUGCUACACUAAACUAAUUCUUUCUUUUCUAAAUUAGUGUGUGUUUUCUCCCGUAUUAGGGAAUAAAAUAUGCAGUAAUAUAUGAAGUAAAGCUCAAGCGCUCAAGUUACGGCAACUUCAUCCCGAUAGAAGCAGCUGGAACGCGGCUUCGGAGGCUGACCACGUGUGGCGUCUACUGCGUGACCCCUUUCUCCGACCCGGGCCAUCCCAACAUCUUCGGCCAAACACACAGGGGAGUACUCACAAGCCAAGAGUAAAAGCAGAUAUUAAGGCCCUACUCACGACCAUAUAAAUUUGUGUGCCACAAGCCAGCCGCGGCAAAAUUUGACAAUAAAUUGCUCGGUAAGCGAA